rnacentral:sRNA from 1 species
CUCAAUUUGCUUUCUUAGCUUGAAUGAAAAAGCGUGCAUCUGAAAUGGUAGAUCCACAUUAGGGCUACAAACUGUGGCCCUGAACUGGAAAGAAGUUAACUGUUUACCCAAGGCUCCCACUGGUGUUUUUAGUCUCAAUUAACAUUGUACCUAAUCAGCCAAGGUAGGUCAUACCAUCCGACAAGAUGACCAGCCUGAUGCAUUGAUGAGCGUACUGAAACAAAAAUGUCUCCUUUUUCUGACAAACCUCAGUCGUCUUUUGCCAUCUGGUGGUAUAGCAACCUGCUGGUAUCCCUGCCACUGAGAUUUCACUCUCUUUCCAGAUCCUUCCUGGGCAUCAGUAAAUAGGGGAACGUUUUUAUGUGAUGAGUGCUGCAGUGUCCAUCGGAGUCUAGGGCGCCAUAUCUCCCAAGUGAGGCAUCUGAAACACACACCAUGGCCUCCAACACUGCUUCAGAUGGUUGAGACCUUGUAUAAUAACGGUGCUAACUCUAUAUGGGAGCAUUCUUUGCUGGACCCUGCGUCUAUUAUGAGUGGAAAACGUAAAGCUAAUCCACAGGAUAAAGUACAUCCCAAUAAAGCGGAAUUCAUCAGAGCGAAGUAUCAGAUGUUAGCGUUCGUCCAUCGCUUGCCCUGCCGGGAUGACGAUAGUGUGACUGCCAAAGAUCUUAGCAAGCAACUCCAUUCGAGCGUGAGAACAGGGAAUCUUGAAACCUGUUUGAGACUGUUAUCUUUAGGAGCACAAGCCAACUUCUUUCAUCCU